rnacentral:lncRNA from 1 species
UUCUUGUCUGCAAAUGUCUAAUUGGUAUUGUGAUGAUGCAGGAAAGGAUGAUUUACUGUGUUUCUACAAUAAAUUAGAUACUGGGGACAUUGUGCUGAAUAAUUUUAAGCCUAAUAUCCAUGGAAGAAGCUGUGCAAUGGUUUGUACCAGCAGACCACAAGGAGUCUUUCCACAAGAGCGCCACGUUAUUGUAUAUUUGGCCUUCAAAUAUUUUUACUGAAGUGGAGGCCAUUUGGAAAGGCUCUCAGAUAGGAGAGCCUAGCCUGUUUGACCUAGUCUCAUUUCCCUACUCAGGUCAUCAGAGCCUGUGUGGCACUGCCCACAAGUCCUUGGUGGGUUCUGGAGCUGUCCAAGGUUCCAAAGUUCCAGGGAGGGAGCCUGCAGCAGUCAGAGGGCUCUGGGCUCUGCUUCAACUCAGUACUGUGAGAGAAGGGAUGUGGUCCUGAGAAUACUGUAAUGUGGAAACCCUGAGUUCAUGAUUUCCACUCAUCUGCCUUCUGGGGACGCUGAUAAAUGGAGCUGGGUAAGGAAGCUAGGGAGUUCCUGUAAAUAUGAUAGCAAACCCCUGUCCACUUCCAUACCCGAUACAGAGAGCUCUUAUAGGUAAACUAAAGAGGACUAAGGGAAAGCAAAGUAACACUAAACUAGACUUAGAUUAUCUAUUCAGUGACAACAUUCUGUGGUAGAAUGUGGUCUAUGUAGGAAGAACUCAAAGAACAUGGAGCCAACAGGCCUUCUCUUCCUUGAAAUAUAGACAAAUGUGUAUCUCCUAGCCACUGUGAGGGGGAGAAUAGAUGGAAGGUGAAGACUAAAUGGGAAAGGGUAUGGGAAAGCUAAAGGAAGGACAUGGAAUCACUGCAGAUUUAUAAAGAUGUAGCUUUUUUGAAAAAAUAAAUAAAGACGUAGCUUUUAUUCCCUGCUUUAUUCAAAACAAAAAUUAUAUAACAAACUUUAAUUCUGCUGGAGGCUGAAGUAAAUCAAUUUGCAACAUCAAACUUUCUCCCCCUUGGCCUGCCUGGUUUUCAGUCCUCACAGAUUAGGAGUUAUUCUGGGUGUUCCGUCACUCAGCCCUGUAUCUGAGGCUCGAGAAUCAUUUCACACUUCGACAGCUCUUUAAAUGAAGCAUCAAGUUACCUCAUAAUUGACUUGUCUCCACUGUGUGCUUCAACACACAAAAUUCCAGCCAAAUUAAAGUACAACAGAUGGGAAAAGUCACUUGGGAAGAAACACUAAUGAAAUAGUUUUACUUUCUCUUUGAAAGCUGGGAUAAUAUACUGAUUUCAAAUAACUCAGUUUGCAUUUCAAAUCCCUGGGGUUUGGAACACAGGUAUGUGGAUUAAAAAUCCAAGCAGCAGGUAAUGCUUCUUCUGAGCAUUUAAGGAGAUGUCCCCAUUUAGAAAGUUCUUUAUCAUGGCCAUCGUGCAACAUCACCUCUGUCCUAGGUACUGAGCUCUUGCUUGGGCAUUGCACCAUUCACUGCUUGUGAGAGCAGCUGACGCCACCAGUAUCAACCUAGUACUCAUCAACCCUGUUCCUACACAGGAACAGAGCAAGAAAAACAUGACUAUUCUAAGCAGAUCCCAAGCCCCAAAUUCUCAAGCACAUAGCUUUUUGCUGUAGUAUAAUGUCACAUCGAGAAUCUUAACAUUGGUACAAUCAACCAGUCUUACUCAGAUUUCCAUAGUUUUAUUUGUAUUCCUUUGCAUGCAUGUGGUUUGGUUUUGUACAGUUUUACCAUCUGUGUAGGUGUGUGUACCUACAACCAGUGUCAAGGUGCCAGGCCCUUCCAAUAUGACAAGGGUACUUUGUG